UGUUUUUAGUGUAUUGGCGGAACCACACUGAUCCAUUUCGAACUCAGUUGUGAAACGUUAUAAAUCGGCGAAAAUACUUGGAGAGACAUCUCCCGGAAAAAUAGCUCAAUGCCAAAGUU
rnacentral:rRNA from 2 species